rnacentral:lncRNA from 1 species
GGAUCAUCUUCAAAUUGAAUUACUUAGUAAUAUCAAACUUUUUUUAAUUCUUCUUAUCAUGUAAGUCUUUUCGACGAGAAACAAAUGCAGCGGAUAUGGUCAUGACAAUUUUUAAUCGCCACAACGUUAUAUUUGUUUUAUACUCCGAUGACGUAUUUAACUUCAAGAAUGUUUUUUUUUUAUUUUCUUUACUUCGCCUGCAUAAUCUAUGAUUUGUCUUGUAUAAGGUAUCUGUUCGGAUAUAUUUUGUUGCACUCAACAUAAAAUAUACUGUCUUCGUACGAUAUUACAACUUGAGUGUGACUGCAGUGAUACUGUAUGUUUCCUGAAAUAAACAAUUUUUCCUAUCGUUUUGUUAUCACAUGUACCAAUACAUUUCAGUUGAAUGUUCGUUGAUGGAAACGGAAGGUUUUACUGUACACUUUGUA